rnacentral:lncRNA from 1 species
GGAUGGCAGUUUUACCCGACCCGAUGGAUACCCGACCCGUUCCGACCCGAUUGGGUCUACCCGAACCCGAUUUUUUUGGAUCUGGAUCUGGAUUUGGGUCUUAUUUUUAGACCCGAAAGAGUUUGGAUCUGGAUCUCAGGUAUUCCGAACCGAGACCCGACCCGAAACCCGAAACUCGAUUUAAACCCGAUCCGAACCCGAAACCCGAUAAAAACCCGAUA